rnacentral:rRNA from 1 species
GACGAACGCUGGCGGCGUGCUUAACACAUGCAAGUCGAACGGAAAGGCCCUGCUUUUGUGGGGUGCUCGAGUGGCGAACGGGUGAGUAACACGUGAGUAACCUGCCCUUGACUUUGGGUUAACUUCAGGCAACUUGGGCUAAUACCGGAUAGGAUCUCCUGCUUCAUGGUGGGGGUUGGAAAGUUUCGGCGGUUGGGGAUGGACUCGCGGCUUAUCAGCUUGUUGGUGGGGUAGUGGCUUACCAAGGCUUUGACGGGUAGCCGGCCUGAGAGGGUGACCGGCCAAAUUGGGACUGAGAUGAGGCACAGACUACUACGGGAGGCAGCAGUGGAGAAGAUUGCACAAUGGGCGGAAGCAUGAUGCAGCAACGCCGCGUGCGGGAAGAGGGCAUUCGGGUAGUAAACCGAUAUCGCCUGUGACGAAGCGUGAGUGACGGUAAUGGGUAAAGAAGCACCGGCUAACUACGUG